GACGAACGCUGGCGGCGUGCUUAACACAUGCCAGUCGAACGGUGAAGCGCCUUCCUUUUUGGUGGGUGUGGAUGAGUGGCGAACGGGUGAGUAACACGUGAGUAACCUGCCCCCUUCUUCUGGAUAACCGCAUGAAAGUGUGGCUAAUACGGGAUAUUCUGGGUCUGUCGCAUGAUGGGUCUGGGAAAGAUAUUGUUUCGGUGGGGGAUGGGCUCGCGGCCUAUCAGCUUGUUGGUGGGGUGAUGGCCUACCAAGGCGGUGACGGGUAGCCGGCCUGAGAGGGUGGACGGUCACACUGGGACUGAGACACGGCCCAGACUCCUACGGAGGCAGCAGUGGGGAAUAUUGCACAAUGGGCGCAAGCCUGAUGCAGCGACGCCGCGUGAGGGAUGGAGGCCUUCGGGUUGUGAACCUCUUUCGCCAGUGAAGCAGGCCUGCCUCGUUUGUGGGUGGGUUGACGGUAGCUGGAUAAGAAGCGCCGGCUAACUACGUG
rnacentral:rRNA from 1 species